UACGAAGGGUGCAAACGUUGCUCGGAAUUAUUGGGCGUAAAGCGCACGUAGGCGGCUUGGCAAGUCGGAUGUGAAAUCCCUCGGCUCAACCAAGGAAGUGCAUCCGAAACUGCCGAGCUUGAGUACUUAAGAGGAUCGCGGAAUUCCCGGUGUAGAGGUGAAAUUCGUAGAUAUCAGGAAGAACACCAAUGGCGAAAGCAGCUUUCUGGGACGGUACUGACGCUGAGACGCGAAAGCGUGGGGAGCGAACAGG
rnacentral:rRNA from 1 species